rnacentral:rRNA from 1 species
CUUAAUGAGAGUUUGAUCCUAGCUCAGGGUGAAUGCUGGCGGCGUGGAUAAGUCAUGCAAGUCAAGGGGGCCCGCAAGGGCAACCGGCAGACGAGGUAGUAACACGUAGGUACGUCCCCCGAAGUCGGGCAUAGCCAUCCGAAAGGAUGGGUAAUUCCCGAUAGUCCCGCAAGGGUAAAGGUUUUUCGCUUCGGGAGCGGCCUGCGUAGUAUCAGCUAGUUGGUAGGGUAACGGCCUACCAAGGCUACGACGCUUAGGGGGGCUGAGAGGCCGAUCCCCACCGAUGGAACUGCGAACGGUCCAUACUCCUACGGGAGGCUGCAGACGAGAAUAUUCCGCAAUGGACGAAAGUCUGACGGAGCGACGCCGCGUGAUCGAUGAAGUGCUUCGGUACGUAAAGAUCUUUUAUCGGGGACGAAGUUUAUUGACGGUACCCGAUGAAUAAGGGGCUCCUAACUCUGUGCCAGCAGGAGCGGUAAUACAGAGGCCCCAAGCAUUACCCGGAAUCACUGGGCGUAAAGGGUGUCUAGGCGGCCAUAUUAGUCUCUCGUUAAAUCUGUGGGCUCAACCUGCAGUCUGCGAGGGAAACGGUAU